rnacentral:rRNA from 1 species
UUGAUCCUGGCUCAGGACGAACGCUGGCGGCGUGCCUNAUACAUGCAAGUCGAGCGGACUUUAAAAGCUUGCUNUUNAAGUNAGCGGCGGACGGGUGAGUAACACGUGGGCAACCUGCCUGUAAGACUGGGAUAACUUCGGGAAACCGGAGCUNAUACCGGAUNAUCCUNUUCCUCUCAUGAGGAAAAGCUGAAAGACGGUUUACGCUGUCACUUACAGAUGGGCCCGCGGCGCAUUAGCUAGUUGGUGAGGUAACGGCUCACCAAGGCGACGAUGCGUAGCCGACCUGAGAGGGUGAUCGGCNACNCUGGGACUGAGACNCGGCCCAGACUCCUACGGGAGGCAGCAGUAGGGAAUCUUCCGCAAUGGACGAAAGUCUGACGGAGCNACGCCGCGUGAGUGAUGAAGGUNNUCGGAUCGUAAAACUCUGUUGUUAGGGAAGAACAAGUACNAGAGUNACUNCUGGUGCCUNGACGGUACCUNACCAGAAAGCCACGGCUAACUACGUGCCAGCAGCCGCGGUAAUACGUAGGUGGCNAGCGUUNUCCGGAAUUAUUGGGCGUNAAGCGCGCGCAGGCGGUCCUNNNAGUCUNAUGUGAAAGCCCACGGCUNAACCGUGGAGGGUCAUUGGAAACUGGGGNACUNGAGUGCAGAAGAGAAGAGUGGAAUUCCACGUGUAGCGGUGAAAUGCGUAGAGAUGUGGAGGAACACCAGUGGCGAAGGCGACUNUNUGGUCUGUAACUGACGCUGAGGCGCGAAAGCGUGGGGAGCAAACAGGAUUAGAUACCCUNGUAGUCCACGCCGUNAACGAUGAGUGCUNAGUGUUAGAGGGUUUCCGCCCNNUAGUGCUGCAGCAAACGCAUUAAGCACUCCGCCUGGGGAGUACGGCCGCAAGGCUNAAACUCAAAGGAAUUGACGGGGGCCGCACAAGCGGUGGAGCAUGUGGUUUAAUUCGAAGNAACGCGAAGAACCUUACCAGGUCUUGACAUCCUCUGACACUCCUAGAGAUAGGACGUNNUCGGGGNACAGAGUGACAGGUGGNGCAUGGUNGUCGUCAGCUNGUGUCGUGAGAUGUUGGGUUAAGUCCCGCAACGAGCGCAACCCUNGAUCUUAGUUGCCAGCAUUCAGUUGGGCACUCUAAGGUGACUGCCGGUGACAAACCGGAGGAAGGUGGGGAUGACGUCAAAUCAUCAUGCCCCUUAUGACCUNGGCUACACACGUGCUACAAUGGAUGGUACAAAGGGCAGCAAAACCGCGAGGUCGAGCAAAUCCCAUAAAACCAUUCUCAGUUCGGAUUGUAGGCUGCAACUCGCCUACAUGAAGCUGGAAUCGCUAGUAAUCGCGGAUCAGCAUGCCGCGGUGAAUACGUUCCCGGGCNUUGUACACACCGCCCGUCACACCACGAGAGUUUGUAACACCC